AGGAGAAAAAAAAAAAAAUAGAUGGUGGAAUUACUGCAGUCCUCAGUCCUCGCCACCAGCUUCGAAGCAAGUGAUGAUGCCAGAUUUUUCUUCAUUUCUUUUUCAUUCUCUUCUUCGGUUACCAGUGCAAGCGUACAGAAGGAGCCUCUCUCAAAAUCAUCGUGGUGGACUAGACAAGGAUGGUGCCGAUCAGCCUUCCUAAUUCUUCUUUAAUAUCUGACAUUUCUAAAACAAAUGAUUAUGGGGAAAUGGGCAUUUUGAUUGCCAAUGGAAGUGUUACUUUCCCUAUGACAGUUCGGAUUGUCACUUCUUUUUUGAAUUGCGUAGGGAAUGCAUGAUGACACGAAUUUCAAGUUUUGGAAGAGGAACGUCUUCACCAGCUGGACUAACUUCUUUUCUCAGCUUCACGUGUUUUAUUAUUAUCAUUAGCAAUGUGAUAAUUCAAAUUAUCACUGAUAUCGGAGCAAAAUGACCCAUUCAUAAUCUUCCUUGGGUGGCACGACUCAUAAUGUUUUGCUUCCUUGAUUAAGUAUUCAUGCUUUUCUCUAUACCAAAUCAUAUAUGGUUGUAUUGCUGGAUAUCUAGAAUUUGCUAUGCAAUAAUUUGAUCAACCCAAAUUACGGGACGCUCUCAAGAAUUAACUGCUUGCUGUUACCCAUCCGAAGAAGAAAUGUGCCAGGUAACUCAGCUCCAAGUCCUAAAAUCCACCAUCUCACACUAGUUUUCUUCUCUCUUUUUGCCAAAACCCUCUCAUACAAGUGGAAAUGAUAAAUUUAGGUGGUUUGGUUAUGAGUGGACUCAUGGAAUCAUGGUCUCUAGAAACAAAGAUACAAGAGACUGGUGCGUGUCAGAGUCCUGGACUGGAAAUUGCUAUAUCCUUCCAGGAUUGGAUUGCUUCAUUGGGUCCAAAAAGAGCAUAAAUACUUUGUAGCCUAAAAUGAAAAUAAAAAAUGCUUCUCUUUGGAUUGACUUAGGCCCCUUUUGUGGGUCUCUACUAGCAAAAGGGCAUGAUUAGUUUUCACUGGUUUUCUGUUCCUGCAUAAAUUUUGGGUCCACUUGUCUUGGCAAUUUCGGGCCCUCCACCCUCCGGAGACAUUUAAGGAUUUCUCCCUAAUGAUAUAGAUUUCAGAAGUCAAUCAAAGCUAAUACUCUGUUUAACAUGUUCAACUCAUGUCUGAUGAUUUCACAGGUUUUUGUGCUUUUAAACGAUUAACCACAAUUAGACCAGUAAUUGCCAACAAUCCACGUUUGAGCCGCCGCGUGGGCUUUGGCAUGUGUUUUGCUUCGUCCAUGUUCCACCGCCUCUUGCCUGGUCCUCUCCCUGGUACUUUAAAUCUGUCAUAUGGAUCUGAAGAAGAGUGUGGAUCCAAAGGCGGUUUGCGAUGCGUUAAUGUUGAUAAGUAAACAAAUCUCAACCGAUCUAAUGUUAGCAGCCUAAAUUUCAGUCCAUGAAAGAAUGGUUCCAGUUUUAAUGCAGAUGGGUUCGGUCCAAACAAACGCUACAACUUUUGAACUAGUUUGACAAAUAAAACAGCAACAUAUCUUUCCGUGAUCCAACUCCCAACAUCAAUUUAUCGUUCUAUUUCCACUGUUUCUGGUCUCUUAUCUUGGGUUUUUUCCCCGAUUAAACAGAGUAUUAGCUAUGAUUGACUUCUGAGAUCUAGUCUUUAGGGGAAACAUCAAUGUAUUUCUUGGGACCAUCAGCUUGAUGGUUUGAUGUCCUGUACUCCUAUUAGCUUUUCCUUGCCUUAUACUUCACGACUAAUCCCAGCUUUAGGGUUCUUACUUGACAGGGCCACUAGUCGAACUAACACUCCACUGAAAAAAGAGAGUUAUUUGAUUGAUCAGAACAUCAAUAAGUACAGAACUCGUUUGGUCGAUUCUCUUCCCAAAGUAAACAGGGGAAGGUGAGAAGACGCACAACAUUGAAUGCUUCAACUUACUGAGAGAAUGUACGUGUGCAUUUGGUUGGACAUGGCACGACAAACUUCUUGCCUAUCCGACUUAUGGCUUUCAAACUGACAGAAGAUGGUCUAUUAAAACUCUCCUACAAGAUGAAAAAACAACAGUAAAUGAUCUCCCCAUCGAAGAUUUUUCUUAGAAAGAUGGACUCCUCUGUAAGGUUCAAUAGCAGGACAUUCAAGUGAUUUGAAUCAAAAUGAACUUGCAAUGAUUAUCUAAUCCGCCAUAUGUACAAUGAGAGAACUGAUUACAAGGAUUGCUCUAUAGAGAUUAGAGUAAUGUACAUCCAUUAUUGCUGCUCUUACAAAAACAGGCCUCAUCUGCAAUGUUGUUUUUCACCUUAUCCCCUGCUAUCUUCAUCCGGGAACCCAUAGUAUGCAGUUGUGGAUCAAUUUAUGCAGGCGUUGGCUUGGCCUUGUUAUUGAUGCAUUGGCGGAGGCGGUGGCGGCGGCGGCGGCGGCAUUGGAUAAGCCAUGGGCACCAUGUAAGGCGGAUGAGGGUGGUGCCCUGGAGGUGGAAGCAUGACGGGUGUCCCAACCGCAGAUCCAAUAUGCCCUGGAGGAGCAGCAAUUGGGUGACCCACUGGCGC